rnacentral:rRNA from 1 species
GACGUAGGGCGCGAGCGUUGUCCGGAUUUAUUGGGCGUAAAGAGCUCGUAGGCGGCUUGUCGCGUCGACCGUGAAAACUUGGGGCUCAACCCCAAGCCUGCGGUCGAUACGGGCAGGCUCGAGUUCGGUAGGGGAGACUGGAAUUCCUGGUGUAGCGGUGAAAUGCGCAGAUAUCAGGAGGAACACCGGUGGCGAAGGCGGGUCUCUGGGCCGAUACUGACACUGAGAAGCGAAAGCGUGGGGAGCGAACAGG